UCUCAAAAACCCCUUCCUUUGGUGGAGAGGAAUUUGGACUUGGAGGUCUUUUGCUGGUUUCNCCUUGAAGCGAGCUCCUCCC
rnacentral:misc_RNA from 1 species